rnacentral:rRNA from 1 species
UACGUAGGGGGCAAGCGUUGUCCGGAAUCAUUGGGCGUAAAGAGCUCGUAGGCGGUUUGUCGCGUCUGCUGUGAAAAUCCAGGGCUUAACCCUGGACCUGCAGUGGGUACGGGCAGACUAGAGUGCGGUAGGGGAGAUCGGAAUUCCUGGUGUAGCGGUGAAAUGCGCAGAUAUCAGGAGGAACACCGGUGGCGAAGGCGGAUCUCUGGGCCGUAACUGACGCUGAGGAGCGAAAGCAUGGGGAGCGAACAGG